AUCGGAUCUGUAAAUAUAAUUAUUUCAAUAAUUUAUAAAAAUUUUCUAAUACGAGAUAUAAAAAAUUACAUGACGUAUAGGCUAUUUUCUGCUUACAGUGUUACUGCCCAAUCAAGGAACUUUGACAGUCCGCGUUCGAGUUCCUUUAUUUGGAACCAGAUCAUGAUUGUGAAGCACACAUUGAUCCAAGUAUGGACAAUGUCCUCCUUCGUAGCUUUCAACAUAAUGCGCAUUCAAUGGUAACUCCCAUACUCCUAAAAAUAAGCAA